rnacentral:lncRNA from 1 species
CCGCACCUACCAGCCACACCCCUCUUUCUCUCUUUACCUUCUCUCUAUCCCUUUUCCUCUCUCACUGGUGCUCCUCUCUAUCAUUUCUGGCAAAAAUAGCCAUGAACACCCCCAAUCGACGUACCCAGACCGGCGGCUAGUGUCGUCCCUUUCUAUCUCAACCAGCCUAAGACAUUGUUGCCUCACCCACUGCUUCACCGGUGAAAUAUGUCGGCGAACCCAAUUGUUAUUGCUGACCGCUGCUUACCUCGAUCCUCUUUCUCCAACUGUGAUUCCAUUCGGCCUACCACGAGCAGUCAUUCCAGCAGUCAUCAGCCAGCGAUCUCGCUACCCAGCUGCGGGAGCUUCACCGCUCUAGCCACUGUCGCCUUCGAGCUUCAGUCCAACAUCGCUGGAAAACACUAAAGUCCUUGACGGAUUUUUUGAAUCCCGCCCAGGUUGUUUCUCCCUUUGAAUUUAUGCUCUUCUUCCACCGUUAUUUUUUUAGGCAGAUUCUUAGAUUUGAAAUCAGUGAAAUUUGACUUUGGUUUUUGAGAUUAUUCUCUCAAUUUUAUGUUUGUUUCUACCCUUAGACUAACAUAUAUGAAAAUGCCCAAAUUUUAUUAGCGAUGAUUAUUUUUUGUUUACAUUGAUAGUCACUGACUUGUUAAAUGCAUUUUGUUUGAAGGCUUUGUUUGACACAAUGAGUAUGUUGUGGUUGAAUUUAGUUAGCCUUCAAUCAUGCUCAACCCCGAUAUAUGAUUUGUGAUAGAUUCCAUAUCUUUGAUUCAAAAUUAAUGGGGUACACAGUGACGCCUAAUUCUAAACUUUGUCUGGUAUAGUAUUUGCUUGCUAAAUGUGAUAAUUUAAUUUAUUUUUCUCACUAGUAUUGAAGUUGUGUGAUAGCUGUUUUGAUGUCACUAGUUAUUGAUUUUAGCUGGCCUAUUUUCUUACUUCUCUAUUCAUGGUAAGCUUGAUUCAGUCUUACAUUUAAUUGAGAAUAUUAGUUGGCCAAGUAAUGUGUGAUGAGUUGACUGAUUUUGAUUAUCCUUACCAUAUUGUUUGAAAAAAUCUUUUGAGAUUAAUUUCCUUCCUUAUUUGUCUUGCCUUGAAUAAGUCGGAUAAUCUUUUAUGUGAUCAAUUAUGUUAAUUGUGAUUGAUUUAUUUAAAUCUUGAUAUGAUUAUUUAAUGAAGGAAAAGAAUUUCUAUAAUCAUCCCUGAUUUAUCUCCUUUCCUUUAAUUAUUCAUUCUUCUAUCCACUAUAAAAACAAGACUCUUUUUCAUUACGGGGAUAACAAGCAAACUCUCUCCUCUUUUACACAUUUGAUUUCUACACUCCCUCAUACAAAAGCUUUUAGAAAAAAACAAAGGUUAGUUAAUGUUCUUAUUCUGAAUUGCAUUUCUACCUUUGAAGUUUUGGUAUCAAUUUAUCCGUGGCAAUUCAUGUCUGACAUUCGGUAUUAUUUGGUUUUCUUAGUAUUGUUUUCUAUAUUCAACCAGUAAGUUUUCUAACGACGUAAUUUUAAUACCUUAUAUGAUAAUGCUAGAAAAUAUAUCUAUAGGAAUUACUUGAACUUUUGUGUGUUGUAUCGUUGUUGUGUCAUUUUGUGUUCGUAAUCAUAUCUUGAUAUUUUUGUUAGUCUCUUUGUGCUUGUCAUGCUAUGCCACGGUGUUUAAUAGGUUUGGGGAAAUUAAAAAGUUGCUCGAGGAUUUGAGAGGGAUUAUGUUUUUCCCUUUUAGUUUAGUCAAUUAUUCUUUUUAUUGGAAUGUAAUAUUUUAUAAAUGUCAUCGAUGUAGUAAUAAUAUUUAUGGGACUGCAUGGGGGGUGGGGUUUUAUAUGCUACGUGAAUCACCUAGGCAAAAGAAUAAUCUAGGACUAACAAUAAACUUUCGUGGUCACAUAGAAAGCAUGCUUUAAAGGAUAAUCAAUUAACUUACGAUCUAAUUUAAUUGUGAAGUGCUUUACGAUGUGUUUUACUUAGUUUUGACAUUGUCAUUAAUUUCAACGUCUUAUUGUAUCACCACUUUUUAUAAUAUAAAAUCAAUCUCGAUGUUAAACAGUUUUAUUUUUCAAAGGCAAUAUGUUUGGUUACAUAAAGUUAUUCCUUUUGCAAGUUAAAACAAAGUGUUUGUUUGUUUUAAUAAUUUUCAGCAAUACAAUUACUUUUCCAGCAUAUUAAUACUUAUUUCCAACAUACAAAGUCGUUGUUUAGCGUGUCUAAACAACGUUUCUGCAUAAAACCAUUAAUGUUCAGCAUGAUUAAAAUGCUAAUAUAAGCAUUUUCAGCAUGUUAAAUUAUAGAUUAAGUAUGUUGUUUUUCAACACAUUAAUGUGACUUUAGCAUGUUAACAUGAAAUUACUGUGCAUUAGCAUAAAUUUCAGCAUGUUAAAAUAUUAGAUUUUAGUCAUUUUUAGCAUUUUCCAGCAUAUUAAUAUGAAAUUUCUGCACGAUUAGCAUAAUUGACAGCAUGUUAAAAUGUAUGUUUUUGAGCUUUUCAAUAUGUUAAACACUAGAUUAAGUACAUUGUGUUUCUUAGCAUGUUAAUGUACUUCCAUUAUUUUGUUCGCAUUAGUUUACAACACUUGCACAAUGAAAUUCGUGAGCACAAUUUCUUGACACAUUUACCACACUUUGACAUCCUCUUUUAACAACUUGACAACACACUGUUACAUACAGGAAUCACAGUUAUCUUUUGUCAUAUUAAUCAAUUAUUGAACACUUAAACAUCCUGCCUAUAGGUUAUGACACAAAAUAAAUAAUUAUUUGUCUUUGCAUGUCCUUCAUAUUAAUCGACUUUAAUUAACCAUGACGCUAACUUGGUAUAAUUAUGUGCUACGUGAUGUCCUACUUGUUACGCCUUUUGAGUCAUAGGCAACAUAGUUUUAUUUUGUCUAGAACACAAAACUAAAAUAGCAAAAGUUCAAUACCUCUUGGACGAUAGGCGGGACGAUAAGAAUUACUAAAGACACUAGUUUUAUCCAUGUCUUAGAACUCCUUUAGAGUUAACAACCAGCCUAGGUGGGGUGGGACGGGUAGUUAUUCGAAAAUGAUGAUCUCCAACAUAUAUUAAAGGUAUGACAUAUGAAUUGUCUAAGAGUUCGGCCAGUGGGUCGGAUGAUGAUUAAACAAGUUGGGGUUCCGAUACGAAUGAAACAAAAACCUUUCUUUAUUUGAUUUUCAAAUUUACUCUUUUAUUUACAUUGCAUGUUUAUUUAUUUGGGGUAGUUAGUUUAUUACAUAAGUAGUCCUUUUUUUUAUAAUUUAUAUCACUUCUUUCUCCUCGCUUAUCUUAUUAUAUGUUUUUAUCAUUUAGAUAAUUAACAAUUAGAAAUGAUAAAAUAACAUGUGUUUGCUUAUUAAUUACUUGAUCACUUAGUUAAUAUUUAAGUUCAUAAAACAUGAGACCUUUAUUUGAUCACGUAGAAUCCCUACGUAAAAUACGAAUUCAACCAGAAACAACCUUUGUGGACUUCGAAAGGUGCCUAGCACCUUUCUCACGAGGUAAUUUGAACCCUUACCCGAACUCUGAUGAACUAAGACAAAACAACAAAAUAGAAUCGUAGUAGCCUAGACCGGUGCCCUAACACACCUUAAUACUUUAGGUGGCGACUCUUCACACUCACCCUUCAAACAAUCUCAAAAAGAGUGGUCACGUCGAAUCCCGGUUUUCACGAGAAAAAUAGGACACGACAGAUUCAGGUCCACCUUUUAGUAUUGAAAUCGCUUAAGUAAACAUAUGAAAUAAGCUAUCUUCUUAUUCAUGAAUUAUGUUUUUGAACUUCUCUGUGAACAAAAUGUGUUGGUUUCUGCUGUUAGUUUUAAACUAGUGUUUCUCUAUGCUAAUGAUAAAUAUUGUAGAAACUGUGGACAUAUAAAUUAUCGGUGAACCUCGAUUAGUUUUGACUUAUUUCCCGACGUAAAUCUAUUGAUUUUCAAAUAGAUGUUCUACAAGCAAGCGAAGAAAACCAAUUCAUGUUUAACAGUAUUCUAGAUGAUUUCAGAAGAUGAUAGUGCAUGAUUAAACCAUGGACGAGUUACUCGAGUCUAUGUUACAAAGAAGUAUUAGAGAAUUAUUUGUUUAUAUCAUCUAUGAUAUUCUGUAAGUUUGAAUUUUUUUGGUUGUCUUGUUGUAAUGUGAUCUCAGCUAUUUACAUAACUAGUGUGUCUCUCUUGUUAUCUGAGUUUGUUACAUAAAGAUAAGUUUGUAUCUCUCGA